rnacentral:rRNA from 1 species
AAGACCUUGCACUUUUGGAGCGGCCGAUGUCUGAUUAGCUAGUUGGUGGGGUAAUGGCCUACCAAAGCUUCGAUCAGUAGCUGGUCUGAGAGGACGGCCAGCCACACUGGGACUGAGACACGGCCCAGACUCCUACGGGAGGCAGCAGUGGGGAAUUUUGGACAAUGGGCGCAAGCCUGAUCCAGCCAUGCCGCGUGAGUGAAGAAGGCCUUCGGGUUGUAAAGCUCUUUCAGCCGGGAAGAAAAGGUUGCGACUAAUAAUCGCAAUCCAUGACGGUACCGAAAGAAGAAGCACCGGCUAACUACGUGCCAGCAGCCGCGGUAAUACGUAGGGUGCGAGCGUUAAUCGGAAUUACUGGGCGUAAAGGGUGCGCAGGCGGUUUUGUAAGUCAGAUGUGAAAUCCCCGGGCUCAACCUGGGAACU